rnacentral:rRNA from 1 species
CAGCAGUAGGGAAUCUUCGGCAAUGGACGAAAGUCUGACCGAGCAACGCCGCGUGAGUGAAGAAGGUUUUCGGAUCGUAAAACUCUGUUGUUAGAGAAGAACAAGGAUGAGAGUAAAAUGUUCAUCCCUUGACGGUAUCUAACCAGAAAGCCACGGCUAACUACGUGCCAGCAGCCGCGGUAAUACGUAGGUGGCAAGCGUUGUCCGGAUUUAUUGGGCGUAAAGCGAGCGCAGGCGGUUUCUUAAGUCUGAUGUGAAAGCCCCCGGCUCAACCGGGGAGGGUCAUUGGAAACUGGGAGACUUGAGUGCAGAAGAGGAGAGUGGAAUUCCAUGUGUAGCGGUGAAAUGCGUAGAUAUAUGGAGGAACACCAGUGGCGAAGGCGGCUCUCUGGUCUGUAACUGACG